rnacentral:rRNA from 1 species
CAGUAGCCGCGGGAAUACGUAGGUGGCAAGCGUUGUCCGGAAUUAUUGGGCGUAAAGCGUGCGCAGGCGGUUAUAUAAGUCAGAUGUGAAAUCCCCGGGCUCAACCUGGGAACUGCAUUUGAGUCUGUAUGGCUAGAGUGUGUCAGAGGGGGGUAGAAUUCCACGUGUAGCAGUGAAAUGCGUAGAUAUGUGGAGGAAUACCGAUGGCGAAGGCAGCCCCCUGGGAUAACACUGACGCUCAUGCACGAAAGCGUGGGGAGCAAACAGGAUUAGAUACCCCAGUAGUCCCUGUCUCUUAUAC